GGUCUGCUGGCCCAAUGGCAAGGCGUCUGACUACGAAUCAGGAGAUUACAGGUUCGACCCCUGUGCAGAUCA